rnacentral:rRNA from 1 species
UACGUAGGGAGCAAGCGUUGUCCGGAAUCAUUGGGCGUAAAGCGCGCGUAGGCGGCCCUGUAAGUCCGUUGUGAAAGUCAAAGGCUCAACCUUUGAAAGCCGAUGGAUACUGUAGGGCUAGAGUCCGGAAGAGGCGAGUGGAAUUCCUGGUGUAGCGGUGGAAUGCGCAGAUAUCAGGAGGAACACCAAUAGCGAAGGCAGCUCGCUGGGACGGUACUGACGCUAAGGCGGCGAAAGCUAGGGUAGCAAACGAGG